CUCCCCGGCGGGAAUCGAACCCGGUCUCCGCGUGACAGGCGGGGAUACUCAUCAUUAUACUACUGAGGA